GUUCCUGGCUCAGGAUGAACGCUAGCUACAGGCUUAACACAUGCAAGUCGAGGGGCAUCAGUUUGGUUUGCUUGCAAACCAAAGCUGGCGACCGGCGCACGGGUGAGUAACACGUAUCCAACCUGCCUCAUACUCGGGGAUAGCCUUUCGAAAGAAAGAUUAAUAUCCGAUAGCAUAUAUUUCCCGCAUGGGUUUUAUAUUAAAGAAAUUCGGUAUGAGAUGGGGAUGCGUUCCAUUAGUUUGUUGGGGUGG
rnacentral:rRNA from 1 species